UACGGGAAAUCCAGCACGGCCUGGAAUUCCUGCCCCCGUCUGCCGGAGAGACAAACCAAAAGAUGUGAAUGCGUGAGAUCAGAGGGAUGUUGGUUCUCGAGCAGCGACAGCAUCCACUCACCUGCAACCCUUCUCUCCAAUAAACGUUGUUAUACUACAGCAAGACAAAGUUGGGCUCUCCAUCAGCUCCUGCUGGACCUGGCAACCCAUCUCUGCCUGGAGGUCCGGGGGGUCCGGACGACUGCUGCAAGGAAGAACCGUCCCCAAUGUGGAGUACCUCGCCAGCACGUCCCAAAGGCCCAGGAGGCCCUGGGGGACCCUGAUCCCCACGCUCUCCUUUAGUUCCAAAAGCGGUACUACCCUGGUGACCAGGAAAAGUUAUCGAUUUCCCAUCUUCUUCUUCAUGAAAGGAUUGAUGGAAAAGUGAAUUCCCAUCGAAGAAAUCCGCCUGGAGACCAACGAGUCAAAUUCUCACAAGUCGGCAUCACAAGGGAGGAAAGGUUUUGGCCGGGCGGUGGAAGUGGGAGGAGAUUGAUGAGACAAACGCGCUGAAAAGUUCAUUCUGCGCAUCGGGGUAUCAUGUGUGCAGUCAUUGGGGGGGGGGAGGAGCCAUAAGUCAUGUGAAAAAAAACAAAUGGCGGGCAACUCGACGUUUUCAUUAUUCACGUGAGCACCGACUGCCGAAUGGAGAAGAAACACGCUAAAAAAAAAUCCUCAUGUUUUCACACACUCAUCACAUCUCUGUAAAUGGCGCGUUGUGUUCAAAUCCCGUGGGAUAUUGUCCAAUCGGAGCACGCGAGGUGGUCCCAGAUCCCAACUGGCAGCACCUGCCGUCGGUUCCUGCAGCUGCUGUGCACACACACAUCAGCGCGACUUCUCAGACUCGUGUGCAGAAGUUGGUGAAGGUUUAACACCCGUACACUUUUGGAAACGCUCCAAUUCACUGGCCGGGGCCUCAUCUCCACACCCGUUACUGCGGACCACCGUCACGCCUUGAGAAAAAGGCUCCUCGAGAGGACAAAUCUGGCAUG